GCCAGACCUUAAACUUUACUAUGAAUCAGCCGCAUUUUGUUGGCUGAGAGAAUGGCUGCUUCUUGAAAACACAGACAUUUUGGAUUUAGAAGGUUUUAACAAUGUAUUUGGGUGGCAUGCAUAUUUGUGGUAUGAUAAGGUCAAAGCACAUAAAGCAUUUAAAAACCAUAUUGUCAGGAAAGCAUUGUUUAAUGUCUGGACAAGAUAUAAGGAUCUACUUGAAAAUAAAACUCCAAGGUGGCUGUCACCGAUGGAAGCGAAGGCUCAGAAAAAGCUCAAUAUGGAGGCCAAAUGGCCGAAAUAUUGGGAAAUUCUGGAACAAGAGGGAGAUAAAUUGAAAUUGCAGAGCUUUGAAAAAUUAAAAAAUAAAGUGCGAGAUUGGCUUGGC